rnacentral:rRNA from 1 species
UACGUAGGUGGCAAGCGUUGUCCGGAUUUACUGGGCGUAAAGAGCGCGCAGGCGGUCGUUCAAGUCGCGUGUGAAAGCCCCCGGCUCAACUGGGGGGGGUCACGCGAUACUGAUCGACUCGAAGGCAGGAGAGGGUAGUGGAAUUCCCGGUGUAGUGGUGAAAUGCGUAGAUAUCGGGAGGAACACCAGUGGCGAAGGCGACUACCUGGCCUGUUCUUGACGCUGAGGCGCGGAAGCUAGGGGAGCAAACGGG